CCUACGGGUGGCAGCAGUGAGGAAUAUUGGUCAAUGGACGAAAGUCUGAACCAGCCAUGCCGCGUGCAGGAAGACGGUCCUAUGAGUUGUAAACCUCUUUUGUAGGAGGGUAAACGGCGAUACGCGUAUCUCUCUGAAAGUAUCCUACGAAUAAGGAUCGGCUAACUCCGUGCCAGCAGCCGCGGUAAUACGGAGGAUUCAAGCGUUAUCCGGAUUUAUUGGGUUUAAAGGGUGCGAAGGCGGUGGGUUAAGUAAGCGGUAAAAUCCCGGGGCUCAACACGGGAAAGGCGUUGAAAAUGGCUGGGUGGAGUGGGUGAGAAGGAUGCGGAAGGCGUGGUGUAGCGGUGAAAUGCAUAGAUAGCACGCAGAACUCCGAGUGCGAAGGCAGCAUACCGGCGCCCAACUGACGCUCAGGCACGAAAGCGUGGGUAUCGAACAGGAUUAGAUACCCUUGUAGUC
rnacentral:rRNA from 1 species